rnacentral:rRNA from 1 species
UGACGAGCGGCGGACGGGUGAGUAAUGUCUGGGAAACUGCCUGAUGGAGGGGGAUAACUACUGGAAACGGUAGCUAAUACCGCAUAAUGUCGCAAGACCAAAGUGGGGGACCUUCGGGCCUCAUGCCAUCAGAUGUGCCCAGAUGGGAUUAGCUAGUAGGUGGGGUAACGGCUCACCUAGGCGACGAUCCCUAGCUGGUCUGAGAGGAUGACCAGCCACACUGGAACUGAGACACGGUCCAGACUCCUACGGGAGGCAGCAGUGGGGAAUAUUGCACAAUGGGCGCAAGCCUGAUGCAGCCAUGCCGCGUGUAUGAAGAAGGCCUUCGGGUUGUAAAGUACUUUCAGCGGGGAGGAAGGCGAUAAGGUUAAUAACCUUGUCGAUUGACGUUACCCGCAGAAGAAGCACCGGCUAACUCCGUGCCAGCAGCCGCGGUAAUACGGAGGGUGCAAGCGUUAAUCGGAAUUACUGGGCGUAAAGCGCACGCAGGCGGUCUGUCAAGUCGGAUGUGAAAUCCCCGGGCUCAACCUGGGAACUGCAUUCGAAACUGGCAGGCUAGAGUCUUGUAGAGGGGGGUAGAAUUCCAGGUGUAGCGGUGAAAUGCGUAGAGAUCUGGAGGAAUACCGGUGGCGAAGGCGGCCCCCUGGACAAAGACUGACGCUCAGGUGCGAAAGCGUGGGGAGCAAACAGGAUUAGAUACCCUGGUAGUCCACGCCGUAAACGAUGUCGAUUUGGAGGUUGUGCCCUUGAGGCGUGGCUUCCGGAGCUAACGCGUUAAAUCGACCGCCUGGGGAGUACGGCCGCAAGGUUAAAACUCAAAUGAAUUGACGGGGGCCCGCACAAGCGGUGGAGCAUGUGGUUUAAUUCGAUGCAACGCGAAGAACCUUACCUGGUCUUGACAUCCACAGAACUUAGCAGAGAUGGUUUGGUGCCUUCGGGAACUGUGAGACAGGUGCUGCAUGGCUGUCGUCAGCUCGUGUUGUGAAAUGUUGGGUUAAGUCCCG